CAUGUCCUACGGGACGCAGCAGUGGGGAAUAUUGCACAAUGGGGGAAACCCUGAUGCAGCGACGCCGCGUGAGUGAAGAAGUAAUUCGUUAUGUAAAGCUCUAUCGGCAGGGAAGAAAAUGACGGUACCUGAGUAAGAAGCCCCGGCUAACUACGUGCCAGCAGCCGCGGUAAUACGUAGGGGGCAAGCGUUAUCCGGAUUUACUGGGUGUAAAGGGAGCGUAGACGGCAGUGCAAGUCUGGAGUGAAAGGCGGGGGCUCAACCCCCGGACUGCUCUGGAAACUGUACGGCUGGGGUGGAGGGGG
rnacentral:rRNA from 1 species